AUUGAACGCUGGCGGCAUGCCUUACACAUGCAAGUCGAACGGUAACAGGUUAAGCUGACGAGUGGCGAACGGGUGAGUAAUAUAUCGGAACGUGCCCAGUCGUGGGGGAUAACGUAGCGAAAGCUACGCUAAUACCGCAUACGAUCUACGGAUGAAAGCGGGGGAUCGCAAGACCUCGCGCGAUUGGAGCGGCCGAUAUCAGAUUAGGUCGUUGGUGAGGUAAAAGCUCACCAAGCCUGCGAUCUGUAGCUGGUCUGAGAGGACGACCAGCCACACUGGAACUGAGACACGGUCCAGACUCCUACGGGAGGCAGCAGUGGGGAAUUUUGGACAAUGGACGCAAGUCUGAUCCAGCAAUGCCGCGUGCAAGACGAAGGCCUUCGGGUUGUAAACUGCUUUUGUACGGAACGAAACGGUGAGCUCUAAUACAGUUUGCUAAUGACGGUACCGUAAGAAUAAGCACCGGCUAACUACGUGCCAGCAGCCGCCGUAA
rnacentral:rRNA from 1 species